UCAUAUGAUCAACGUUUCGACCCCUCAGGGUCUUCCUCAAGAUCCAGGAAGACCCUGAGGGGUCGAAAUGUCGAUCAGAUGAUGUAAAC